rnacentral:tRNA from 1 species
UUUUAGCUUGGCAGAUUAAUUGUAUCAGAUUUAGAAUUUGAGAAUGAAUUUAUUUCAGCUAAAAA